AUGCAAGUUUGUUCUUACUUAACUCUAAUAAGAGUGUUUUAUUCAAGCUUAUGGUUAAUCAUUGCUGAUUGCCAUGAAAAUUGUACUCUGUACAUCUUGCAUGUAUAAGUCAGGUAUGAAAGGCUGAUCACCUUCAUUACCGGUUUGUCCAGAAAUGUUUGUUCAUGUUUAAAACUUGUUCAGUCAAAAGUUUGUUCCUGCUAGUUCUCAAUUAUAUUGAUGAAUUAUAGCCAGCUUAUUAUUCAUACUCUUCAAUCAUGAUAUAUCUUUAUAUUGUUGUAUUUAAACUUGCUGGGCAAUUUUCAUGCUCACCCUUGCUAUAUCAUGAUAAACAUUGCAGAUAAAGCGAAUGCGUUCGGAUACAAGAAAAGGUUAAUGCCAAGUACAACUUGGGAUAAAAUGUGUGGCUAGUUUGUAAUAGUAUAGUUGAAUAAUAUGUUAUGUGUUAGAUAACUUAUGAAUUGUGUAAUAAGUAAAGGUUACUCGACCUUGGGGAAUAGUGUGUAAUGUAAUGUAUAAACAAUUUAUGUUUAUAUCUUCCGCAAAAAGUAAAAAGUUAUAGAAAUAGUGUACCGAAUCCGCGGCGAUUUGGGGCCCUGGUUCGGGGCUAUUACAGUUGGUAUCAGAGUUGUUGGUUAUGAAGCUUAGGUAGGAAUACAUGAGACCAAUAACCGCAGUGAUUAAGAUAAGAUCUAACUCACAUAGAGUUAGUUGGUCGGUAAGAUUCAAAGAUGAAUCUCGGCGAGUUGUAAAGAUACAGAGUUCCCUAACUCUAGUAAUAAGGUUGAAUGGUAAUGGUGAAUAGAUCGAGUCUAAAAGACUGAAAUUGCAGGGAUAAGAGAGAUCGUAAAACAAAAUGAUCAAGGCAUAGAAAUGAAUCGUAAUAUAUACGGUGAGAUCACCCCGUGAUCUGAUAAGGUGAUAGCAGGGAUAAGGAUCAAUUUGAUGAUUGGAAAGUUUAAGCAAGAUUGCUGUGUGAAUGGUACAGAUUCAGAAAUGGAUUAUGGAUACGGAUUAAAUGAAAUUCGUAUUGUGAAAGGGGGUUAAGAUUAGGUGGGGAUUUCAAUAAGGACUCAUGUCGGCAGCUGAGUUGUAUGAUUCCUUGUAUGGGCGGGGAAUUUGUACUUGGUUUUAGAAUCACUUAGCUUCCUAGUCGAUGUAGUGGUUAGGUUGAUCAAUUCUUUGUAUGGGCAGGGAAUUGGCCGCUUAGCUUCCUAUAUUGAUUAGUGGUCGAGUUUGGUUUGACAACCACUUAGUUUCUGAUAAUGAUAAUCAUUGAAAUGUUUGUAUCGCGCUAUUUGCUAUAUGCAGGUUAAGAGGGUGAUUCCUUUCUCAUGUGUAUAACAGAUAGAUAGGUCAUAUGUAGAGAAUAUAGGAUUAAGUACGAGUUCUUAAAAUUUAUACUUAUGUGACAUUCUUGAUUCAUAGUUAUAUGAAAUGUUUGUGAACCCCUCAGCGAAUGGACGCCAAAGGUCUGACUAGGGUAAGUUCUUAAACUCUAUAUAAUUGUGGUCAUGUUAUGAAUUCAUAAGUGUGGUUUUAUGAACUGGGUAUAGUUUUGUGUGAAUGGAAUGUUAAGGAUAAUAGGAAUAGAUAGAAUGUUUAAGCAAAUAGUACAGUCAAAAUUCUGUCUAUUGUUAAAUCGUGUUGAUAAAUGUCUUAGCCGAUUGUUCAAGAAAGACGAACAUUUAUUGGAAUUUGAUAGGUUUGAAAAGAGAAGAGAAGAGAAGAGAAGUAAAUAGAAUUUGAAAUCCCAGUAUUUCGUUAUUAAAACAAAAUCUUGAUUUUAAGACUGAGCAGAACAACCUUUUAUAUAAAGGGAAUAUUUUAUUUUGAGUAUCUUUGAUAGAUACCCGAGAAAUUUGAGUAUCUUUGAUAGAUACCCGAGAAAUUUGAGUAUCUUUGAUAGAUACCCGAGAAAUUUGAGUAUAUAUCAAAGUAAACCUUUGAUAGAUACCCGAGAAAAUAAGUUCAUGAUCUUGUGUGAUCGCUCAGUAUAAUAAAAAAAAAAAACUUUUACUCUUGUGCGUGGUGUAUUGGGUAGCAUGUGAUAUAUGUGAAUGGUGUAAGCUAUUCGGUGUAAGGUGUAAGGUGAAUUUCGGGGACGAAAUUCUUAUAUGGAGGGGUGAAUGUGAUAACCCGAGAAUUUGGACAAUCUUAAAUGAUUGAUUUAAGGUCAAAUAUUAGACCUAGAUAGAAAAUUAGUGUAUGUGUUGGAUAUUUUUAAGAUAGAAUUUUGAGGGUUUCAAAAUUCGGUGAAGGAUUUAGGUGAAUUAUUCAGGAUUAAGUGUUUAUGUGAUUAAGUUCUGUGUAUAUGGUUAAUGAUGUGUUCAGAAUGUGGUUAAGGGUCAAGGGUUGACCAGAUAAAUUAUAUCUGUAACAAACCCUAAGUUUAUAUUAAGAACGUCAACGUUCGGUUAGAAAACCCUAGCGUUUAAAAGAAACCCUAGAAAACCGGUUCUAGAAACCCUAGUUUCAGUUCCGAGAAUCCGAAACCCUAAUUCGGUGCAUGAAACCCUAAAUCGGGAACUUAAUGACAUAAGUGUAAAUAAUUAUAGGAUUAAUUAGGGUUAAUCUUAACAAAUUGAUUACAAAACCCUAAUUCCAAAUUUGAAGCUCUAAUUACGGAUUUGAAACCCUAAUUUGUAAAUGGGGAAAACGAAAGUGUUAAUUUAAUACUUUAAUGUUAAUUAAAAUAUAUUAAUUCUAAUUUCAAGUUAAGUAAUUAGAAAACCCUAAUCUAAUUACGAGAUUUAAUUUCUAAAUUAGAAAAUUUAUUUUCUAUUAGAAACCCUAAUUAGUGGGUUAUAAACCCUAAGGGUUAAAAAGUUGUGUGUAAGGAAUAUGAACAUUAUGUGAUGGUUUAUAUUUAUUUAUUAUAUAAACAAACAAAAGAAAUUAGUAUAAACCUAAUUAUAUAUUAGGAAUGAAGGAUUUAAUAACUUAAAGGUUAUGGAAAAAGAGAAUUGUGGUAUUUUGAAUACUUACUAAUUCUAGGAGACUUAUGUUACAUAUAACAAAUGAUUAAUUUUAUAACCUAAUUAUAGCAACUCUAAUUGGGUUAAGGAAAUAAGUGUGCAUGAGCAAGGAUUUGGAUUAUAAUGAAGGAAGUGAAAACCCUAAUUAAAUGAUUUGGGUUGGAUAAGAAUUUAAAGUAUUGGACUAUGUCAAUUUCUUAUGGCAUAAGAACUUAAUUUAUUAGAAAGCUCAAAACUUGAUCCAUGUAUGGAGGGACUUCUUGGUUAUUGGUUUAGUAAAAUAAAAAGCCAAACUUGGAGCUUAAAUAGACCACAUGGCCGGCCAUGGGAAGCAACAAAAAGGGGAGAUGAAUGUAUUAAUUGUUCACUUUAGUUGGUAAACAACUCUCACCAACUCUCCAUGUGUCAUUCUUUUGAUUGUCCAACACUUAUGUUUUUUUUAUGCAAGCAAUCCUUGGCAAUUGUGUGAGAGAAAGAGGGAAUUAAUAAGGCAUGACCGGAUAUUGCUAGAGAAAAAGGAGAGUGAGUGUGGUCAAUUGAUAAAAAAAAAAACUACACCUAAUAAAAGUCUAGCUUAUAUAUAUAUAUAUAUAUAUAUUUUUCUUUCUUUCAUCUCUUUUAUCCUUCCAAGUUGCUAAGAGGAAAAGAGAGAGAGGGAGAGAGAGAGAGAGGAGUUCGGCUACUUCAAGAGAAGAGGGAGAGGAAAUUAUUACGAGCCUAUGAAAAAUGUUUUGACUGAUAAGAAAUUAUCUGAGAUAAUUGUUAAGUGUUCAGGAAGAGUUUAACUGAACCUAAACUCGAGUAUUGUCCGACUAGACCGUCGGGAUGAUAGAAUGGUGUCAGUUUUAAGUCAGACUGAAAUAGUUUGACCUGAUAUUAAGUCCUAUGUGCUGUAUAGACUUAUAGGGUUAUGUGUUAUGUGUUUAGGUUAUUCUGUGUAUUUAAAUAUAACAGAAUUAUACUGUGAUUCUAAUAUUGGAGAUCUAUAUUAUUAAUAUUAGGUCUUCGGGUAAAGCAAUAUAAAUUGCGUUGCGGUAAUCAACAGUUCAGGCAAGUUUGUUCUUACUUAAAUCUAAUAAGAGUGUUUUAUUUAAGAUUAUGGUUAAUCAUUGCUGAUUUCCAUGAAAAUUGUACUCUGUACAUCUUGCAUGUAUAAGUUAGGUAUGAAAGGCUGAUUACCUUCAUUACCGGUUUGUCCAGAAAUGUUUGUUCAUGUUUAAAACUUGUUCAGUCAAAAGUUUGUUCGUGCUUGUUCUCAAUUAUAUUGAUGAAUUAUAGCCAGCUUAUUAUUCAUACUCUUUAAUCAUGAUAUAUCUUUAUAUUGUUG
rnacentral:lncRNA from 1 species